CUCAGAGUAAAAUCUGUGUUUGAUCCACUGCCACUGAAUCUUGAUGGAGUUCCAGACUGUAACUCAUUUGCUUUUUUAAUCAGGAGUUUAGGAGCUUCUCCAGGUUUCUAAACAAGUUAACAUCCAGAUGAAGAUGCUGAUGAAGGUCAUGGUGACUCUGGACCCACAGUGAAGCCCUCAGUGUCUCUGCUGUCACCUGCUGCUCUUCAGAUCUCUGGAGACUCAGCAGCAUUGCUCUGUUUGCUCAACUCUUAGGGGCCAGUCACACCAAAAGCGCUUAAACGCUUGCAAACGCAAGGCGCGACGCACUGCCUUUUGUAAAAAAAAGAGCAGUGCGACGCGGCUUUUCAUAUUGCUAAGCAACCACCGAGUCAGCUGUCUUGUCAAUCAAUCGUGAGCACUCUUUUGCUGUUAACUGUCAUAUUAGCAGAAACUUUAAAAAGAGGACGCUUCCUCUGACCUUGUUUGAGGGUGAGAGGUGCACAAACACACAGGAGAGAGUGAGCGAGUGGAGUCCGGUUCUUCAAAGCAACUGUAAACUUCCCUCACCACAACGUAAGGCCCGCCUCUCCCCUCAUUCGAUUGGACAAUGGAAAGACGCGAAUGACGUCGGGCACUUCUCCGCUCUCAGCACUCCUUGAAAAACGCGUGCGCAGCAGGCAGCAAAAACCGCAAGGCGCUCAGCGCGCAUAAACAGCGCGCAAACGCGCCCUGCCCAUAUAAUAUCAUUCAAAAAAGGUGCCUGCAACUGCCAUAAACGCUUUUGGUGUGACUGGCCCCUUACUCUCCACAGGGGGCGCUGGUGAGCUGGACACUGGAUGGGUCAGAGGUCACUGACGGGAUUCAGACCAGUGCCGAGAGCGAGCAGGACGGCCGAUACAGCCGUAAAAGUGUCCUGACCCUCAGUAAAGCACUCUGGGACGAGGCGGAGGUGUUCGUCUGCAGAGUGACACAUGAUGAAACUCUUCACGAGGUCUCCAUGCGUAAGAGUCGCUGUUAGGAGAUCUGAGUGUUGAUGUUUGUCCAGCUGAAGAUCUCUCAUAUAUCUGAUGAUCUGUGUCAGACUCAUGUCAGUCUACUCAUACACAUCUGAUCAUUUACACUUUUAUAACUCUCACAACAUCUCUUGUGUUUGCUUUUACAUUCAAUAAAGAUUUUGAAGACGUUA